rnacentral:lncRNA from 1 species
GGAACCACUAAUGUGAUCUCUUCACCUUCAUUAGCAGAUUCCUUGGCUGCUGGUGCAGUCAUAUAAAAAAAAAAAGCAGAAAAAGCUGCUGGCUUUAAGGUGGGGUAGGUGAGCAGGACUGCUGUCCCUGGGUUGUAGACAAUGGAACCUCUAACCCUGAGCCUCCAACAGGGCAAGCUGUGAGGAAGGAACAGGAGAGGGGCUGUGUUGGAGACAUGCUGCAUUAACCCAAAAGAACAAAGCACGGAGAUGACAACAACAAGAGUAAAAAGGAAACAGUAGAGAAGAGGAAUCACUUGUGGCUCUAUUUCCUGCACAAUGAGAGUGGCACAGCACUAGAGGAGCAGCAUUGGUUAACAUCAACUGAUUUUACUAAUUGUUUUCCAUUAGGAGGGCAACUCAGCCAGAAUAGGAGCCUGAUCCUCUUAGCUACUAAUCCUGUUGCUACAACCACUAGAUGCUGUGAUAACCCUCCUGAUUUUUAUGUCAGCCAAGGUUACUACCAAGCUGCAGGAGCUCACUGAAUAAACCACUGAACACUGGGAAUUCUCCCACUAUAUCACAAUUGCAGAAGCAGAGGUGCUAGGUAAGUUUAUGCCAGUCCUAUGGGAACAUUUAAAAAAAGUUUAAUAGCCCUUAAAAUUUCUCAUUUCUAACCUCUCAUAGGUUUACCUCAUCAUGACAGCUCAUUUUGCUGUGUUAUAAAAGCAGAUAGAAAAUUAGAUUUCUGGCUCGAGAUCUCACUAAAACCAUCAUUCCUGUUUAAGUCAGCAAUAGCCACAUAACAUUUAUGCCUGGAUAGUAAUUUCUUUCUGCAUCUAUUCCAUCAACAGAGCAACACAUUGCAUGGCUUGAAAUGCUUCUGGUCUAAUUAGAAGAGCUUACAAAAUUCUGUGUAAAGAUUAUCUGAAAAGAUCACUGGAAAUAAUAAAUAAGAGGAG